CAGGGAAUCUUGCGCAAUGGACGGCAGUCCGACGCAGCGACGCCGCGUGGGUGAAGACGGCCUUCGGGUUGUAAAGCCCUUUUCUGGAGGAAGAGGCAGGACGGUACUCCAGGAAUAAGUGUCGGCUAACUACGUGCCAGCAGCCGCGGUAAUACGUAGGACACGAGCGUUAUCCGGAUUUACUGGGCGUAAAGCGCCUGUAGGCGGUUUUUCAAGUCGUUUGUGAAAGCCCUGGGCUCAACCUGGGGAGGCCAAGCGAUACUGAAGGACUUGAGGGUGACAGAGGGGAGUGGAAUUUCCGGUGUAGCGGUAAAAUGCGCAGGAUAUCGGGAGGAACACCGAGUGGCGAAGGCGGCUCCCGUGGGUCACGACCAGACGCUGAGAGGCGAAAGCGUAGGGG
rnacentral:rRNA from 1 species